UAGGGAAUAUUGGUAAUCUGGGAAACCGGGAACCAGCAACGCCGCGUGUGCGAUGAAGGCCUUCGGGUUGUAAAGCACUUUUUGAGGGGAUGAGGAAGGACAGUACCCUCAGAAUAAGCCUCGGCUAACUACGUGCCAGCAGCCGCGGUAACACGUAGGAGGCGAGCGUUAUUCGGAUUUACUGGGCGUAAAGCGCGUGCAGGCGGCUCGAUAAGUUGGAUGUGAAAGCUCCCGGCUUAACUGGGGGAGGGCGUUCAAUACUGUCGGACUAGAGGAUGGGAGAGGGAGGUGGAAUUCCGAGUGUAGUGGUGGAAUGCGUAGAUAUGCGGAGGAACACCAGUGGCGAAAGCGGCCUCCUGGCUCAAAUCUGACGCUCAGACGCGAAAGCUAGGGUAGCAAACG
rnacentral:rRNA from 1 species